rnacentral:rRNA from 1 species
CCUACGGGUGGCAGCAGUGAGGAAUAUUGGUCAAUGGCCGGAAGGCUGAACCAGCCAUGCCGCGUGAAGGUCAGUGCCAUAUGGGCGUUAAACUUCUUUUGUGCGGGAGCAAUAAUGGUCACGUGUGGCCAGACGAGAGUACCGUACGAAUAAGCAUCGGCUAACUCCGUGCCAGCAGCCGCGGUAAUACGGGGGAUGCAAGCGUUAUCCGGAUUUAUUGGGUUUAAAGGGUGCGUAGGCUGGGAGGUAAGUCAGCGGUGAAAUGCCCCCGCUCAACGGGGUGAAGUGCCAUUGAUACUGCCUGGCUGGAAUGCGGAUGCCGUGGGAGGAAUGUGUGGUGUAGCGGUGAAAUGCAUAGAUAUCACACAGAACACCGAUUGCGAAGGCAUCUCACGAAUCCGCGAUUGACGCUGAUGCACGAAAGCGUGGGUAUCAAACAGGAUUAGAUACCCGUGUAGUC